rnacentral:ncRNA from 1 species
CAAGCAGUGGGAGGGGAAAGUGAUCUCUGACCGCGUGCCUGUUGAAGAAUGAGCCGGCGACUCAUAGGCAGUGGCUUGGUUAAGGGAACGGAACCCACCGGAGCCGUAGCGAAAGCGAGUCUUAAUAGGGCGAUUGUCACUGCUGUGGGACCCGAACCUGGGUGAUCUAUCCAUGACCAGGAUGAAGCUUGGAUGAAACUAAGCAGAGGUCCGAACCGACUGAUGUUGAAGAAUCAGCGGAUGAGUUGUGGUUAGGGGUGAAAUGCCACUCGAACCCAGAGCUAGCUGGUUCUCCC